ACUUAUGGCCAGACUACCCUGAGAACGCCCAAUCUUGUCCGAUCUCGGAAGCAAAGCAGGGUCGGACCUGGUUCGUAUUCGGAUGGGAGACCGCCUGGGAAUACCAGGUGCUGUAAGCU
rnacentral:rRNA from 1 species